AAACGUAUAGUACAAUGGCACUCUUUGUGUUUUCGAUAAAUCGCAUCCCUCAAAAUGUUUUUUUUUUAAUAGACUAAUAGAUUCGUAUGAGAAGCAUUUUGGGGGAUGCGAUUUAUCGAAAACACAAAGAGUGCAAUUGUACUAUACG
rnacentral:miRNA from 1 species